AUUGAACGCUGGCGGCAGGCCUAACACAUGCAAGUCGAACGAGUGGCGGACGGGUGAGUAAUGUCUGGGCAACUGCCCGCUGGAGGGGGAUAACUACUGGAAACGGUAGAUACUACCGCAUAACAUAGGAUACGCCAACGUGGGAUUAGUUAGUUGGUGAGGUAAAGGCUCAACAAGACGACGAUGUCUAGCUGGUCUGAGAGGAUGAGCAGCCACACGGGGAAUGGGACACGGCCCAGACUCCGACGGGAGGCAGCAGUGGGGAAUAUUGCGCAAUGGGAGCAACCCUGACGCAGCCAUGCCGCGUGAAUGAAGAAGGCCUUCGGGUUGUAAAGUACGUUCGGUAGCGAGGCGUUACCUACAGAAGAAGCACCGGCUAACUCCGUGCCAGCAGCCGCGGUAAUAC
rnacentral:rRNA from 1 species